UACGAAGGGUGCAAGCGUUGUUCGGAUUUACUGGGCGUAAAGCGCGCGCAGGCGGAUUAAUAAGUCAGAUGUGAAAUCUCGGGGCUCAACCUCGAAACUGCGUCUGAAACUGUUGAUCUAGAGUUAUGGAGGGGAGAGCGGAAUUUCGCAUGUAGGGGUAAAAUCCGUAGAGAUGCGAAGGAACACCAGAGCCGAAGGGG
rnacentral:rRNA from 1 species